ensembl:lncRNA
CAGUUUCUUAUUGAAUCACACAGUGAACAGCUUCCAGAGCCAGGCAAGUGUCAUGCUGCAUUGUCUUGGGCUGCCCAGCCACCAGUGGGUAUAAAAUAAUUACUCUGUAUGUCCUCUUUUUAGGGUACAACAGAUAUAGUGAUGCUUGAACAGGAGAUCAGUGCAAGUGAGCAUUAGUUAAGGAGCUGAAUGGGCUUGAGAGUCAUGGACCAUAAUAGAUGGCAGUGAAAUGUAAGCAAUACUAAUGGUACGAGAAGCAAGUCUUCCAGAUGGAGAGUCUGCAAGGGUCAGAACCAGGUGGCUGAAUUCUCACAGGUGAAGUUUUGCGUUAUUUGAUGCUGAAAUAGUACUGGCACAAACUGUGUGUAGCGGGACUCUGAAGUAAAUGUCACUCCGAAAAGAUGGCAUUAGGAUUAUGGGGGCAAUCAGUGUUUUUUAUUGAGCAUAGCAGGAAGAAAAUGAAAGCUGUAAAAUGCCACUGUGGGUAAACAUUAUUUGCAUAUCUAGAAUAUGAACUUCUGUCCCUUCUUAAGUUCAUGGCAAUGACCGAGGUUUUAUCCUUACCUGCACAUCAUGAGUUUAAGCUGGUUAAAGAGAAACUAACAAGACUGGAGAAUUAAAAUGAGACACUUUGCCGACUUACUGAGGUCUCCAGCAUAGAAAUAGUUUUCUCUGGAGUUUUGCUCUCUGCUUUACUUUCCCUUCUCUUCCGGAAAAACGCCCACAACAAUAGAGGGAAAACCUCACCUUGCAGCAUGCACCUCCAUAACUUCAGAGCUCAUCUGGAUCUUUGAUGUGCUAAUGCUCAGCACAGAGAUGCAGGCAAUGAAUAUUUGGGCAGAGUGACACUUCACCUCCUGCACACCGUAUUGCCCUCAAAAACGGUGUUUCCUUCACCCAGCUCGUGCAGGCAGCAUGCAGCUCAGACUGUCAGUGGAAGCACCACUUUGAAGAGGACUUUUGUACCAGCCGUGUGGUUUGCAGGUUAUAUUAUGCCUUGGGAAUCCUUCCUCGGAGCCAAGAUCAGAGCAAGUUGUGUCUUGUCCUGCAGAGCAGUUCAGAAGUGCCAGUGGAGACUUAAGAAGCAGUGGGGCCUCAAUUCAGAAAGCUGUGCCAGUUCUGCUGGGCUGAUGGCUCAUACGAGGCAGUCAUACACAGCCCCACAGAAUCAUUAAGGUUCAAAAAGACCUCUAGGAUGAUCCAGUCCAACCAUCUGCCUAAGACCAAUUUUGCCCACCAGACCACGUCCCUAAAUAGUGCAUCUCCACGGAUCUGUCACUGGUCAUUCCCCCUGGCCAAUGCAAGCAGUUCAAAGAGGUUAGAAAUGUCUCUCCCCGGGAGGUGUGUGCAUGUUUGGAGAUCUGUGCUGAAGGCUGGAGGGAGAGAG